GCAACAAAUAUGAGUUUUAAUAGCCCAUUUUAAACGAACUAUUGAAAAGAAAAAAAAAGUGUGAAAUAGAAAAUCCCACCAAAUAUUUUCCCAUUUUUGGAGCCCUUAAUUUUCAUGAGAAUUUUCUCUCUCACGUCUUUUGAUCUGUACGUGAUACCCACCCCAAAACCCCUUCUUAAAUCGAAGUUGACACACAUUCAUCUUUGUUCAUCGUCGUUGUCUUUGUCUAUCAUCUCUCUAUUCAUCGUCACUUUCAUCACACGAUUUUGAAAGGAUAUUCUAUUUCUCGACUUCAAUCUCCUCAGACUUGCGAUCUUUUGGCUUCAUCUGAUCUCUCACCGUCGUCCACGUGGGUUUCGCUUAGGGUUCUUCGUCUACCAGCUCGUCUCUCUACUGCUAUUAGACACUUGAAACUAAUGAUUGGAGAUCUUAAGUUCCGCAUCCUUUACUGACCUCCGUUUGUCUCCGGCGACCUCUAUUGAGUCUCUUUGCAUCAACAACAUGGGUUGUAUUGUGAUACAAGAAGAGUCAAGACAAUAUUAGCAAAGUGAUGCCCUACAUUUGAGCCAUGGAUGGUGUGAUCAAGAGAUUUGAGAGAGAUCAUAGGUUAUUAAAAAAGAUGCUAUGCACUUUUAUUGACCAUCCUAAUCCGUUUGCUAUUAGGAAGACAUGAUGUUAUUAAGAAGAAAUAUAAAGGAUUCUUUGCCUCCUUUUGUUCCUAUCAACCUUGUCAAUAUUAGGAAGACAUAAUUAUUGAGAGGGGGUCAUUCUAGUCCUAUUUGGAAGACGUGAUAGAUUUAUUAAAUAUUAUAGUGUAGAACGUGUUUGAGAUGGCUACCCUAUUACAUUUGAGUGUGCCUUUUGUGUUUGGGUUGAAGAUUACUAUAACUACAUGGUAGCCAUGGACAGGAGAACAUGUCUCUUUGUACCAAGCGACUUAGUUCGAUAUCACUUAAAAAUAUUAUCAUUAUGACCUAGAAAAGCGAUGCAAUGACUAAAUGAUAACAUGUUGCAAA